AUUGAACGCUGGCGGCAGGCCUAACACAUGCAAGUCGAGCGAGCGGCGGACGGGUGAGUAAUGUAUGGGGAUCUGCCCGAUAGAGGGGGAUAACUAAUGGAAACGGUGCCCAAUACCGCACUCUAUAGGCUGAACCCAUUUUGGAUUAGCUAGUAGGAGGGGUAAAGGCUCACCUAGGUGACGAUCUCUAGCUGGUCUGUGAGGAUGAUCAGCCACACUGGAACUGAGACACGGUCCAGACUCCUACGGGAGGCAGCAGUGGGGAAUAUUGGACAAUGGGCGAAAGCCUGAUGCAGCCAUGCCGCGUGUGUGAAGAAGGCCUUCGGAUUGUAAAGUACUUUCAGCGGGGAGGCGUUACCCACAGAAGAAGCACCGGCUAACUCCGUGCCAGCAGCCGCGGUAAUUC
rnacentral:rRNA from 1 species